AAUAGAUACCCCGGUAGUCCACCCCGUAAACGUUGGGAACUAGUUGUGGGGUCCUUUCCACGGAUUCCGUGACGCAGCUAACGCAUUAAGUUCCCCGCCUGGGGAGUACGGCCGCAAGGCUAAAACUCAAAGGAAUUGACGGGGACCCGCACAAGCGGCGGAGCAUGCGGAUUAAUUCGAUGCAACGCGAAGAACCUUACCAAGGCUUGACAUACACCAGAACACCCUAGAAAUAGGGGACUCUUUGGACACUGGUGAACAGGUGGUGCAUGGUUGUCGUCAGCUCGUGUCGUGAGAUGUUGGGUUAAGUCCCGCAACGAGCGCAACCCUCGUUCUAUGUUGCCAGCACGUAAUGGUGGGAACUCAUGGGAUACUGCCGGGGUCAACUCGGAGGAAGGUGGGGAUGACGUCAAAUCAGUCAUGCCCCUUAUGUCUUGGGCUUCACGCAUGCUACAAUGGCCGUACAAAGGGCUGCAAUACCGUGAGGUGGAGCGAAUCCCAAAAGCCGGUCCCAGUUCGGAUUGAGGUCUGCAACUCGACCUCAUG
rnacentral:rRNA from 1 species